CGAAAAACUGUUUACUGAAGCCAAAUCAAAACCGUCAUUACGGUACUUAAAUAUCAAAAACUGUAAAAUUGGUGUUGUUAAUUCUAUAUGGAAAAGUGCUGGUUCAGAACAAAUGUGUAUACGUAAAGCCUGUUAUAAGAUCAAAAUGCUUUUGGAUACAUAUAUUCUACAGUACCACCGUUCAAAAUUUUCAAAUGGUAAAAAAACUUCAAUUUGUCCGCUAUGUGAGGAAGGAACUGAAAAUUUAGAACAUUUUCUUGUCGUAUGCUCUGCCUUAACAAGUAUUAGAG
rnacentral:lncRNA from 1 species